AAUAAUGUUUAGUUUCACCGAAUGGGGUUAGAUGGUUAGACGGAUUUAGAAUAUUAAUAACAUGUGAACUUUAUAACAAUUAAAUAACCAUUUGAUAGAAAACUUUUAAAUUGAUUUGAAUUAUAUAUCUUUUAAAUUAAAGUAUUAUUAAGAAUAAAUAACAAAAUAAUGUUUAAUUUCACUGAACGGGGUUAGAUGGUAUGACGGGUUUGAGUCGAUAGUAAUAUUAGAUGUUAUACUAUAGGUGAAAUCAUAAAUAUAACAAUA
rnacentral:sRNA from 1 species